rnacentral:lncRNA from 10 species
ACUACUAUAACUAUUCACGACAUGCACGUUCCAGGCUGAUGGCAAAAGGAGAGUGAAAGAUAAACAGGAUUCAAACCAGCUGAAUGAUUUGGGUAUUUGGAACAACCUAAUUCAGUUGAAGCUGUUGAUCUAGGAGCCCAGGAUAGCAGACCCUGAGCAAAGGGAUUUGGGUGCAAUGCAUAUAUUUGGAAGACGAUCCCAAGGAGAUACAGUGAGAGACUGUGGAUGUGGUGCAGGGAUAAUGAGUGUGUUAUUGCUCCAAGCAACAGAGGCUCAGUUCCACUGGGUACCCUCCGAGAAACUCUGGAAAAUGCAUCUCAGAAGGGCCCCUUCAUUCCCACCCACUGUGGAGUUGAGGAAGUUGCGACAUUCAUUCACUUCUUUUUACUCCUCAUUGGUUGAAGUUUCCUCCUGAGGCACCACAGACUGUUCUCACAGCUGACAGAGGGAGCUCCCUUAUUCGCUGGAGGCUUCACGCAGAGAGAAAUGUCAAAACCCAGAGUCAGAUCAGUCUGAGCACACGUGUCUGCUGGUAACUUUCUGUGGAAACCAGGGGUAAGGGUGAAUGUACUCACAGCAUCUGCUGCACAAGUUUUAUUUCAUGUGGUCAGAACAUGCUAACUGUAUUAUUUCAUUGUCUUUUCCUUUUAAAAAAUAUUAUUGGCUGGGUGCGGUGGCUCAUGCCUGUAAUCCCAGCACUUUGGGAGGCCUAGGCAGGAGGAUUGCCUGAGCUCAGGAGUUCACGACCAGCCUGGGCAACAAGGUGAAACCCCAUCUCUACUAAAAAUACAAAAAAUUAGCCGGAUGUGAUGGUGUGCGCCCGUAGUCCCAGCCACUUGGGAGGCUGAGGCAGGAGAAAUGCUUGAUCCCAGAGACGGAGGUUGCAGUGAGCCGAGAUCGCGCCACUGCAUUCCAGCCUGAGCAACAGAGUGAGACUCCAUCUCAAAAAAAAAAAAAAUUAUUAUUAUUAAGGAGUGCUAAAUUUUGAAAAUGUUACAUAUAAACUAGAAAAAUUAUCUGUUAUCUGAUAAUGGAUUUUAAUAAAUAUUGAUUGGUUAGAUCUAUAUAUUAAUUUUAUAAGGUCUCUUUAAUUCAUUUUAUUUUUUUAGGACUGAGAGAACUGUGUUGAAAUCUCCUGUUAUUAGUAUCUUUUUGCUUGCAUAACCUGCAAUUUCUACUGUUGCUGUUUUAUUAGGUGAAUAGAUCUCAAUAACUUACAUUUUCAUUGUGGAUUAUAGUCUUUAGAAUUGUUAGUUUCAUUCAUUGCCUCUCAGUUUUUGAACUUUUCAUUUUGCAAUAAUUAUAGAUUCACAGGAGUUUGAAAAGAUAGUACAAAGAGAUCCCACAUGCCGUCGGUACAUUAUGUGUGUGUAGUUCUAUAUCGUUUUAUCACAUGUGCAGAUGCAUGUAACCACCGUCACCACUGAGAUAGAACUGUUACAACACCACAAAGACCCUUCCUGCUACCCUUUUAGAAUCCCACCACUCCCUCCCCACAACCAUCCCUCACCCAUGGCAACCAGCCAUCUCCCAUACCUAUACUUUUGCAUUUUCAGAAUGUUAUAUAAAUGGAAUCACAUGCCAUGGGGACUUUUGAGAUUGUCCCCUUUUUUUUCAUUCAGCAUAAUUCCCUUGAGAGCCAUAAAAAUUAUUGCAUGUAUAAAUAGUUCUUUUUUUAAUAUCUGAGUCUUUUUGAGUAGUAUGUGUGUGCUCCAGUUUGUUUAAUCAUUCACCUAUUAUAAAACAUUUUGCUUGUUCCAGUUUCGGCUAUUACAAAUAAAUCAGCAAUUAAUAAACAUGUUGAGCUAUUUAUGUGAACACCCAUCUUUAUUUCUCUAAGUUAAACACCUG